rnacentral:rRNA from 1 species
CCUACGGGAGGCAGCAGUGGGGAAUAUUGGACAAUGGGCGAAAGCCUGAUCCAGCAAUGCCGCGUGAGUGAUGAAGGCCUUCGGGUCGUAAAGCUCUUUUACCAGGGAUGAUAAUGACAGUACCUGGAGAAUAAGCUCCGGCUAACUCCGUGCCAGCAGCCGCGGUAAUACGGAGGGAGCUAGCGUUGUUCGGAAUUACUGGGCGUAAAGAGUACGUAGGCGGUUAUUCAAGUCAGAGGUGAAAGCCCGGGGCUCAACCCCGGAACUGCCUUUGAAACUAGAUAGCUAGAGUCUUGGAGAGGUUAGUGGAAUUCCGAGUGUAGAGGUGAAAUUCGUAGAUAUUCGGAAGAACACCAGUGGCGAAGGCGACUAACUGGACAAGUACUGACGCUGAGGUACGAAAGCGUGGGAGCAAACAGGAUUAGAUACCCUGGUAGUCCACGCCGUAAACGAUGAUAACUAGUUGUUCGGUCACUUGGUGACUGAGUGACGCAGCUAACGCAUUAAGUUAUCCGCCUGGGGAGUACGGUCGCAAGAUUAAAACUCAAAGGAAUUGACGG